UACAGAGGUCUCAAGCGUUGUUCGGAUUCAUUGGGCGUAAAGGGUGCGUAGGCGGCGCGGUAAGUCGGGUGUGAAAUCUCGGAGCUUAACUCCGAAACUGCAUUCGAUACUGCCGUGCUUGAGGACUGGAGAGGAGACUGGAAUUUACGGUGUAGCGGUGAAAUGCGUAGAUAUCGUAAGGAAGACCAGUGGCGAAGGCGGGUCUCUGGACGGUGACUGACGCUGAGACGCGAAAGCGUGGGGAGCAAACAGG
rnacentral:rRNA from 1 species